CUUCCUAUCACUAAAGCAUUUUCUGUGUAAUUUGUAGGGUGAGGCUCAUUUGGGUAGGACUUCAACAGUGCUUUAUGGUAAGUGAGAAAUACUUAGGUGACUCUCCCAAGAUGAAUAUUUCUCCAGGCUUCAUGACUACAAUAUUCUUCAUACUUGGUGGAAGGACAUAUGGAGACUCAGUCACACAGACGGAAGACCAAGUUACUGUCCCAGAAGAGACUGUGCUGACCAUAAACUGCACUUAUACAGCCACAGGAUACCCUGCUCUUUUCUGGUAUGUCCAGUAUCCUGGAGAAGGUCCAUGGCUCCUCCUGAAAGCCACAAAGGACAAGGAUAAGGGAGGCAACAAAGGCUUUGAAGCCACGUACAAUAAAGACACCAGAUCCUUCCACUUGAAGAAAGCCUCAGUGCAGGCGUCAGACUCGGCUGUGUACUACUGUGCUCUGAGUGACACAGUGGCAGGAACUGCAGGGGGAGCUGAGCACAAACUCUGAGUGAUGACAAGGGAACUGGCUGCUCAGUGUCUGGUUCUGGGAGCAUUUUCAUUUCUGCAUAGUGUGUGAUGUGUACCAUUCUGUUUCUCUCAUUGAUGUAAUGUCACACAAACAUCCAGAGCAGAAGACAAGACGUAGGUAUCACCUACCGACAGCUCUUCAGUAGUAACACAAGAAAUAGCUUCUGUCACCAAUAGUUCCUCAUGCAAAGGGUAAUUUCAAGGUAAAACCAUGUAGACAGUUUAUCUUUGCAGACACGGUCCAGCCCCACUCUGGUCACAGGGUAUCCUGGAAAAUUUUGCUGUCUCACACAUUUAGGCAGCUAAGUGUGAUAGAGAAAGGGGCUUCCUUAUAGUGUUUCCCUAACAGAAUGAGGGACAAGAAACAACAAGCUAGCUACAGUCCCCACCUCCAAACCCUUUGGGCAAAUCAGAAGGUGGGCACAAGAUGAUGUUCAAAAGAAACGGAGGGAGAAAUGCACAACUGUAGAAAUAACUCAUGUCUAAAUGGUGAGUGCCUACGGCUAGUGCACAGAUAGUUGGCUUGUAAGAAAGCGGAAAGGGAGUUAGGUUUCAGGACAAGGGGAGGUGAAGCUUAUAUUUUUAUCUUUUAUCUUUAUGAAAUAUUGUUAGAAAGACAGUAACAAAGUUAAAGGGCACAAACUGAGAGAGUAUAGAGAAGAAGAUGACAGCUGUAGAGUCUGUACAAGUCCACAAGAUGAGCAAGUGUGUGGAAAAGGAAAGACUGUAUCCCAGCCUGGAGAAAAAUGUACCUCGGCCUAGUGAGGGACCCCACUAAGGCCCAUCAUGUGUUGGCCCCCCCGGAGCCUUCUUUGGGUGGGUUAGGUGUCUGAAGAUCUGAUUGGGUGCAAAACACUGGAGAAGAUGGUGUGCAUCUGGUAAAGAUAUUUGAAAGUGAGAGGAUGAAGGAGUAGACCCAGUGGACAGAAGUGUGUGAUUAAAAGGUCAUCCGUGCUCUCUACUGCAGCUGGAACAGUAAAAGAAAAAUCAUUUUCCAAAGCCAGAAGAGAGUUAAAAUGUCUUUAAUGAAUUGAGGACCAGCAGGUUUAAAUGUAAGAGAACAAAAACAUUAUAAUAGAUAAAUAUAAUAUUUAAUUACUCGAUAUAGGACAGUGAUAAGUUAUUCAAGAAAUGAGCUUACCUUUUGGUUCAGAAUACUGUCACCUGAUAGCUUCCACCAAGUUACACCCUCAGUGACAUGGACUAGGCAGAAUGUACCUUUUUUCCAAAACUUGUGUAUUAUCAACCAUUUGUUGAUCUUCAAGACUUAAAUAUUAGCAUUUCCUAUAUGGAGCUUUACUUAGUGUAUUUAACUCAUUUAUAUGUUCUGUAUAUUGUCCGUGCAUAUGCAUGCCCAUUUUAAAUGAUAUAUUCUCUGUUUUUAAUGUUAACAUUUGAUCCAGUAAUUUUAUAUUUACAACUUUUUGUUCUUUUUUAGAUACUUAAUUUUUAAGAGUAGUUUUAGGUUACAGAAAAGCUGAAAGAAAAGGUACUGCAUCACAGGGUUCACUAGAAAAACAAAUUGAUAUUUAAUGUUUGCUCUUUUAGAUUUUGUUCUUGCCCUGGUCUGAUUGUUUUCUUUUUCCAUUCCCCAGUUUCGUAUGUGAAUGUUUAUCUUGUGCCACUUUUAUUUUGGGAGUAUAUAAUAUGCAUUUUGAUUUUUAUAAAAGUUUUUAGCUAAGUAUUUGCCAUGCAUGUGUUAGAGAUUCUGGACAUGGACAUUUGAGCAGUCUGGAAUUACAGAGACUUUGAAAACUCUUGGAGAUGGACUGAAUAUACUUUGUAUUACUAGGUUGACAUGAGUCUUCCGGACCUGGAGUGGAAUGUUACAGUUUGGAUUGAAAUAUUUCUCUAAACUCAUGCAACAAGGCUUGGUUACCAAGUAAUGAGCCUUGUGCAAGUCAUUGUAUAAUGAAAGCUAUAACUUCAUUAAGUGAAUACAUUCACUGAAGACAUUAUAAUCUGAUAGUAUUAUUGGGAGGUGAUGGAAACAGAAGGCGGGGCCUAACUGA